rnacentral:rRNA from 1 species
UACGUAGGGUCCAAGCGUUAAUCGGAAUUACUGGGCGUAAAGCGUGCGCAGGCGGUUGUGCAAGACCGAUGUGAAAUCCCCGGGCUUAACCUGGGAAUUGCAUUGGUGACUGCACGGCUAGAGUGUGUCAGAGGGGGGUAGAAUUCCGCGUGUAGCAGUGAAAUGCGUAGAGAUGUGGAGGAAUACCGAUGGCGAAGGCAGUCCCCUGGGAUAACACUGACGCUCAUGCACGAAAGCGUGGGGAGCAAACAGGAUUAGAUA